UUCCUCAUCAUUUCCAAUUUCUUUCCUUUUACAUAUCAAACAAAUAUCACGGGAGGUUCGAGCUAUACGACUGAACCAACAAAAAUAAUUAUUCAUCUUCUCUACUCUGCGUGUUUAUCAAUUUUAUCCUAAUACAAAUAAACAACUUCAUGUGAAAUUGUGAAUGCCGAUAAAUAAAGGAAAUAUCUCUUUUGCUAAUCAUAGAAAAUGACUAUACUUAAAAAUCUGUACGUUUUUUUUUAUUAUUUAUCUUGAUGUCAUUGAACAUGUUUGGAAAAUGUUGGAGGAAUCAAGGCAACCUUAAAUUUUUUUUUUUUGGGACAUUUAGGCCAUUUAAGGCAAACUCACACACACAACGCAUACACAAAGACUCGAGCCCAAGACCUCUUCAUUGGAAGCAUAAGCUCUCAACCAAUAGGUCAAGGUGAGCUGUGUAAGGCAACCUUAAAUGACAAGUAUAAUUUUUGUAAGUAACCGUUUUGGAGAUAGCAAGCUAUUUUCUUCACAUGAUUGCAAGACAUUAAAAAAUGAACUAUAUCAAAGUUCAUAGUUUCCUUAGAUAUUUAGGCUUUGUUUGAGACAUCUUUUUUAUUAUUUUUAAAGCAAUUUUUUAAUUAAUUUUUAUUUUUAAAGAAAUUUUUGGACUAAAAAGCUUAUUUAGAAAGUAAUAAGGAAGUUGUCCCAAACGAAGCCUUAAUUUUGUAAACAAAUCUUAUUAUUUAGAAACAUAUUUUAUGUUUAUGUGGCUAUAAUUUUGAGAGUGAAGUUCUUUUUGUUGAAAAUCCUAAGCCUUCACCCUACUUUUCUCUAGCCAUAGAUGUUUGAUUUGUACUCAAGUUUUUUAUUUUUUAUUUUUUAUUUUUAUUUCUAAUUAUUAAAUAUUGAUGAUAGCUAAAUUUUUUUAUAAUACAUUUUUUAUAAAGAGGCAAUUUUAAUUAAUGCUCAUUUGUUUUAUUUAUGAGAUAUUUUUUUUUAUGAGAAUAAAUAACUUACAAGUUCGACAAGAUUUGGUUUAAAUUGGAGUAAAGCGUGAAUUGUAUCCUCAUGUUCUUUCGAAUGGUAGUUAUAUUUUACCACCAACUAUAUUUACCAUGUCUAAGAAGGAUAAGAUAAUAUUUUGUGAAGUUCUCAAGAAUAUGAAGUUACCCAAGGGUUAUUCAUCAAACAUUUCUAAGGGUGUUAACAUUAAAGAGUGCAAAAUAAUAUGUCUAAAAAGCCACAAUCCUCAUGUACUAAUUGAGGAUAUUAUGCCUAUUGCAUUAAAAUCAUGAGCACCAUCAAACAAAGUUUUCACCAUCAUUGUUGGGAUUUUAUAUUUCUUGAAAUUCAUAUGCACAAAGGUCAUAAAUCCAAUUGAACUUGACAAGAAACUGAAGGAAAUUGUAUUGACUUUAUGUAAUAUGGAGAAGUACUUUCUCCCAUCAUUCUUCACUAUCAUGGUCCACUUGCUCAUUCAUUUGGUUGAAGAAGUGAGACUUGGCGGGCCUGUACAUUAUAGGUGGAUGUACCCUUUUGAGAGGUAAUAUAUUUUUUCUAUUGCUUAAAUGUUUUAUUAUUUAGUGGGGGUAUAUCACCUACAUAUUCAUACUUUAUAUAUUUUUCUUAGUAUUAAAGGAUUUUGUUGGAAAUAAUUCACAACCUGAAGGGUUAAUUACUGAGCGAUACAUCACUAAAGAGGGAAUUUCAUUUUGCUGAAAAUGUCUGGAUGGUGCGCCGACUUUGUCCGAGUCCAUUUCUACUAGAAUUUCAUCUAAGGAUGAUGGUGUUUCCAAGUUCUUGGUUGCCGGUAAACCUUUGGGUCAAGUGUCUAUGUUUUUGUUAGAUGACAUAUUAUUGAUUCAAAGUCAUAGAUAGGUGCUCCGACAUUGUGAUCAUUUAACAAAGUAUACUUAUCUGUACAAGGAGGAAGAGAGACCAAAAAGAGCCAACAACUUUCCUCUAACGCCAUUAGCUCUUAAUAAACUUGUUAAUGAACAUUUUCAUGAUUGGUUCAAAUGAACAGGAAGAUAUGAAAACAUCUCUUCAGUCAAUUUCAAUAUCAUAUGCCUAAAUUGAUUAAUAAUUUUUUUUUAGAUUACAUGUACAGAUGAGUCAAUUGUUUUAGAAGAAGUUAGAUCCCUCGCGGUUGGUCCUAAGCAAAUCACACGAAGAUUUAAAGGAUUUUAUAUUAAUGGGUAUGAAUUUCAUACUAAAACUUGCGAUGAGAACAAGAAAACACAAAAUUAUGGUGUUGUUAACAAAAUUGAAGUCGGAAAUUUUUUUUAUUAUGGUUGACUGAAUGAUUUUAUUGAGCUUGAUUACUCCGACUUAUUUCACGUGGUUUUGUUCAAGUAUGAUUUGGCUAAUACAACUUCAGUUGGCAUUAAAAUAGAUCAUUAUGGAAAUACAUUGGUUAACUUUUCAUGAUUAAUACACACAGAUGAUAGAUGGGCAGAUAAUCCUUUUGUUUUUUCAUCACAAGUUGAGCCUAUUCUGUUCAUUGAAGAUCCAAAGAAUAAAAAUUUAAACUUUGUCUUACCAGUAAAGGCUAGAGAUGUUUUUGAUUCAAGCCUUUCUCGACAUAACAAUUAUAUAUGAAUUUAUGCAAAGGUAAUAACGUAACAUUUAAAUUUACAUUUAAUUUCAUAUCUGUUGUGUUUAACAGAAAGUAAGCAUGAAUUUAUGUAUCGUAUUCUGUUCAACCUUUAAUAUCGUAUUCUAUUCAACUGUACUGUUUUGAGCACUCAUUUAUUUAUUAUACAGUUUUGUAGACUUAUGGACGUAGAUAAAAUAUAGCUAUUUGAUUGCUUUUGCAUUGUGAGGCCAUGCAGCAGUUAUAUGAUGUUUAGCUCUUUCGGACAAUCUAUGCACUUGAGACUCAUUUUUGAUAGAAUUACAGUAUCAUGAAUCUCGAGAUUUAUUUUUUAUUGUUUGUAUAACUGGAAGGCUACCUAGACCCUUACUCUAGAAUGGACCUUAAUAAGAAUAAAGUCCAAAACAUCUAAAUUUGCUUCUUCCAUCUGUUUAUUUCUUUUAUUGUUUUGAAUUCAUAAAUUUUUAUUGCUUGAUGUCUGUAGUUUCUCAAUAUACUUUUGUAAAUUAUUUUAUUGUUUUCAAUUCAUAAACUUUUAUUGCUUGUUGGCUGGGAGAGUCGCUCGUUGAACCAUGUGUUUUGCUUGCAGUAGUCCACAGCAUCGAUGGUAUGGUGAGUACCUGUACUAUUCCCAUCUGGUUUUAUAACGUUUACAUCAAAAAUUGUAUACCUGAAAUGAACAUCUUCAUGGCUCCACCUGCCUGUGACUUGCACAUUUAAUUAAACUCCAGCAAACUACAAGUAUCUUUUUCUUUCAGUUAAUAUGAGAAGUACAGAUUCUAUACCCGAAAAUAGCUAGUUUGAUUAUUCUGUCCCAUAUCAUGAUAUUUUAAUAAUUAUCUUGGUUUUUGUUUGUACUAAUAGGAAUGACAAGAAGUGGUUCAUUCUGACGUGUUAAAAAGGUUAUAUGUCGAGGAUAUUCCAGUGUAAAGUAGACUAGUUGAACUUAUAAUAAUACAUCGACUCUGGUGCAUCCAGAUUAGUCCAAUGCUGGUGACUUCAAUAAUAACGAAUAGUCUGCUAGUUUGUCAUCUCAAGAAAUAAGACGGCAUGUGUCACCUGCGGAUGAUGAAAUUUGGCUCAUAUGUUUUUGUUCACUUAAAUAUAUUUUUAUUUAUGUCAAUUUUAAUAAUUUAAUAAUAUAAUUCCCUCUUACAUUUUUAUUUUUUUCAGAUAAUGAGGGUGCUCCGAUAAAAAAGAGAGGUCAAACUACUUGUGCAGACAUACAUAGCAUGCCACCAGGUAUUUCUCUCGUCAGCUUUUUAUAAAGAUCGGAGAAUGCAGUGAUUGUGCGUUAAACGUAUAAAAAGAUGGAUCGUGGAAGAGGCAUGGGCUUCAACCUGUUGUGCUGUCAAAUUUUCCUACAAAGUUUGUUGAGAUGUUUGCAUAUAUUUUUUUUUUUCUAAAUCAACACGCUUUGAGAUUGUCUUACAGAAUGCAUUAUCAUCAAUUUGAGGAUGCUAUUUUUAUACAAAUUGUUGAUUCUAAAGUCACAAUCACCGAUUUUUGGUGUAGUGUUUAGGUGUAUUGUUUUGUGAGAAUCACCAUCUGAAAGGAGUUUUGGUGUAUUGUUUUGUCUGAAUCACUAAUUAUAUGCCUUAUUUUGAUCAACUGCUCCCAGUUCUACAGAUUGUUAACGAUUUAUUUUUAGGCUUCGUUCUCUAAAUGUCCGAUUCUACAGAUUUAUUUUUAGAUUUCGUUUUUUGAAUGUCUCGGGAGAAAUAAAACUGAAGUGCUAAGCUACAAUCGGACACUGCAAUAAUAGCCACACAAAAAUACAACAAAUAAAAUAGAGUACGCACGGAAUGAAGAGCUCACUUUAUUAUUGUUAUAUAAUAAAGUGGUAUGUAUGUAAAUCCCCCAACAUACUAACAACACUUUUAUUUUUUGCACCUCUAACAAUAACUUGAUGAUCAUCCUUAUGUCGAUUCCAAACAGUUUAUCCCGUAAAGAAUUUAAUUGUGAUAAUGUGUUCCUUGACAUAAGUAUUUGUUGAUGCAUGAUUUGCAUGGGCAUAAUAUAUUUCCUGAUAGCUAGAUUCUUACUAUGAAUUGCAAAAUCUAAAAAAACUUGAACUCCUUUGUUGUAUUCACGACUCAAUAUUGACUUGGUUAUCCAACUCUUAUUUAUUUUAGAAUUCAACUGCAGCUUUUCAUAA